rnacentral:rRNA from 1 species
CUAGUAGGCGGUUCGUCGCGUCCGGUGUGAAAGUCCAUCGCUUAACGGUGGAUCCGCGCCGGGUACGGGCGGGCUUGAGUGCGGUAGGGGAGACUGGAAUUCCCGGUGUAACGGUGGAAUGUGUAGAUAUCGGGAAGAACACCAAUGGCGAAGGCAGGUCUCUGGGCCGUUACUGACGCUGAGGAGCGAAAGCGUGGGGAGCGAACA